rnacentral:rRNA from 1 species
UACGUAGGGUGCAAGCGUUGUCCGGAAUUAUUGGGCGUAAAGAGCUCGUAGGCGGUUUGUCGCGUCUGCUGUGAAAACUGGAGGCUCAACCUCCAGCCUGCAGUGGGUACGGGCAGACUAGAGUGCGGUAGGGGAGAUUGGAAUUCCUGGUGUAGCGGUGGAAUGCGCAGAUAUCAGGAGGAACACCGAUGGCGAAGGCAGAUCUCUGGGCCGUAACUGACGCUGAGGUGCGAAAGCGUGGGGAGCAAACAGG